CUACGUAGGGGGCGAGCGUUGUCCGGAAUGAUUGGGCGUAAAGGGCGCGUAGGCGGCCCGGUAAGUCUGGAGUGAAAGUCCUGUUUUUAAGAUGGGAAUUGCUUUGGAUACUGUCGGGCUUGAGUGCAGGAGAGGUAAGUGGAAUUCCCGGUGUAGCGGUGAAAUGCGUAGAGAUCGGGAGGAACACCAGUGGCGAAGGCGGGUAACUGGACUGCAACUGACGCUGAGGCGCGAAAGUGUGGGGAGCAAACAGGAUUAGAUACCCUGGUAGUCCACACUGUAAACGAUGAAUGCUAGGUGUAGGGGGUAUCGACCCCUUCUGUGCCGCAGUAAACACAAUAAGCAUUCCGCCUGGGGAGUACGGUCGCAAGAUUAAAACUCAAAGGAAUUGACGG
rnacentral:rRNA from 1 species